rnacentral:rRNA from 1 species
GAUGAACGCUGGCGGCGUGCCUAAUACAUGCAAGUCGAGCGAACAGACGAGGAUCUUGCUCCUCUGACGUUAGCGGCUGACGGGUGAGUAACACGUGGAUAACCUACCUAUAAGACUGGGAUAACUUCGGGAAACCGGAGCUAAUACCGGAUAAUAUAUUGAACCGCAUGGUUCAAUAGUGAAAGACGGUUUUGCUGUCACUUAUAGAUGGAUCCGCGCCGCAUUAGCUAGUUGGUAAGGUAACGGCUUACCAAGGCGACGAUGCGUAGCCGACCUGAGAGGGUGAUCGGCCACACUGGAACUGAGACACGGUCCAGACUCCUACGGGAGGCAGCAGUAGGGAAUCUUCCGCAAUGGGCGAAAGCCUGACGGAGCAACGCCGCGUGAGUGAUGAAGGUCUUCGGAUCGUAAAACUCUGUUAUUAGGGAAGAACAAAUGUGUAAGUAACUAUGCACGUCUUGACGGUACCUAAUCAGAAAGCCACGGCUAACUACGUG